UAGCUCAGUCGGUUGAGCAUGGUGCUGAUAACACCAAGGUCAUGGGUUCGAUUCCCGU
rnacentral:tRNA from 1 species